rnacentral:pre_miRNA from 1 species
AGAUCGUGGGUGGUCACUCUAGGCACUGAGGCAUAGUGCUGGGGAUGUUGCAGCUGCCUGGCAGUGACUUCUCACAGUCC